UACGUAGGUGGCAAGCGUUGUCCGGAUUUAUUGGGUUUAAAGGGUGCGUAGGCGGCCCUAUAAGUCAGUGCUGAAAUAUCCCGGCUUAACCGGGAGGGUGGCAUUGAUACUGUAGGGCUUGAGUAAAGUUGAGGUUGGCGGAAUUGACGGUGUAGCGGUGAAAUGCUUAGAUAUCAUCAAGAACACCUAUUGCGAAGGCAGCUAACUAAGCUUUAACUGACGCUGAGGCACGAAAGUGUGGGGAUCAAACAGG
rnacentral:rRNA from 1 species